rnacentral:rRNA from 1 species
CCUACGGGAGGCAGCAGUGAGGAAUAUUGGUCAAUGGACGAGAGUCUGAACCAGCCAAGUAGCGUGAAGGAUGACGGCCCUAUGGGUUGUAAACUUCUUUUAUAUGGGAAUAAAAUGUUCCACGUGUGGGCUUUUGUAUGUACCAUAUGAAUAAGGAUCGGCUAACUCCGUGCCAGCAGCCGCGGUAAUACGGAGGAUCCGAGCGUUAUCCGGAUUUAUUGGGUUUAAAGGGUGCGUAGGUGGAUUGUUAAGUCAGUUGUGAAAGUUUGCGGCUUAACCGGAAAAUUGCAGUUGAAACUGGCAGUCUUGAGUACAGUAGAGGUGGGCGGAAUGCGUGGUGUAGCGGUGAAAUGCUUAGAUAUCACGAAGAACUCCGAUUGCGAAGGCAGCUCACUGGACUGCAACUGACACUGAGGCUCGAAAGUGUGGGUAUCAAACAGGAUUAGAUACCCCUGUAGUC